CAGCAUGGCGGAGGAGACCAACAGGGAUUGCCUCAGUAACGGCGAGUGAAGCGGCAACAGCUCAAAUUUGAAAUCUGGCCCUCGGGUCCGAGUUGUAAUUUGUAGAGGAUGCUUUUGGCGCGGUGCCUUCCGAGUUCCCUGGAACGGGACGCCUUAGAGGGUGAGAGCCCCGUACGGUUGGACACCAAGCCUCUGUAAAGCUCCUUCGACGAGUCGAGUAGUUUGGGAAUGCUGCUCUAAAUGGGAGGUAAAUUUCUUCUAAAGCUAAAUAUUGGCCAGAGACCGAUAGCGCACAAGUAGAGUGAUCGAAAGAUGAAAAGCACUUUGAAAAGAGGGUUAAAUAGCACGUGAAAUUGUUGAAAGGGAAGCGUUUGCGACCAGACCUUUUCCUGGCGGAUCAUCCGGUGUUCUCACCGGUGCACUUCGCCAGGUCGAGGCCAGCAUCGGUUUCCGCGGGGGGAUAAAAGCUCUGGGAACGUAGCUCCUCCGGGAGUGUUAUAGCCCUCUGCACAAUACCCCCGCGGGGACCGAGGACCGCGCUCUAAGCAAGGAUGCUGGCGUAAUGGUUGUCAACGACCCGUCUUGAAACACGGACCAAGGAGUCGAACAUUUGUGCGAGUGUUUGGGUGUCAAACCCUCACGCGUAAUGAAGGUGAACGUAGGUGAGAGCCCUUACGGGUGCAUCAUCGACCGAUCCUGAUGUCUUCGGAUGGAUUUGAGUAAGAGCAUAACUGUUCGGACCCGAAAGAUGGUGAACUAUGCGUGGAUAGGGUGAAGCCAGAGGAAACUCUGGUGGAGGCUCGCAGCGGUUCUGACGUGCAAAUCGAUCGUCAAAUCUGCGCAUGGGGGCGAAAGACUUAUCGAACCAUCUAGUAGCUGGUUACCGCCGAAGUUUCCCUCAGAUAGCAGUGUUGUUCUUCAGUUUUAUGAGGUAAAGCGAAUGAUUAGGGACUCGGGGGCGCUUUUUUGCCUUCAUCCA
rnacentral:rRNA from 1 species